AAAUAAGUGAUAUUUACUUACAGCAGGUGGAGAGCAUGGUGGAUGAAAUAACUGAAGAAAUCUUUAUGAAGGAGAGGAGUUGUAAGCUUGAACUUGAAGGGUGGAUGUAACCCAGAUACAUUUUACAUUUGUUCUCAGAAAGAAGAGAAUUGAUGUGACAUUGACCACUGCUUUGGCAAGAAGAAACCAUUCCAGGCCUGGGACUAUAUGAAUGAUGGUGGGGAAGUCAUGAAGAAAAGCAGGCAUUCCAUGUGGACUGGAGCAGAGGGAACAUGUGUCCUAUCUGAAGCAUUCAGUACCUGGAAACCAUCAUAAUAGCCAUUAUAAGAAGUGGCAACUACAAACUCUUUGAGAAGAGUGUCCUCUUUAUUUGAGAAUCAUUCAGAACAUCUAGUAACAUAUACUUGGUGCAUAGCAGACACUCAGUACUCAAUUAUAGAAUUGAACAUUAUUACAUCAUAACUUUGAGGGCCCACAUGAUGACUUUGAAUGCAGAGCAAAGAGCUCAGACUUACUGCAUUAAUAACGAGGAGCACUUGGUAUGAUAAACAGGAGAAGUAACAUGAGCAGAUGCAGGAAAUAGAAUAAAAUGGAAACCUGGGGCAGGGGUAGGCUAGUUAGGAGUCUGUUUCAAUAGAUUAAGUGAGAUGAUGAGGCCCAGGGUUAGGUUUGUGCUGGUAGAAUGAAGGUGCAGAAACCUUCAGAGGUGAAGAUGAUGGGCUUUGGAAACAGAUGGGAUGUUCGGGACAAUCAUUAAGGCAGCAGUCAAAGAUGAUGGCAUUUCAAUCCUGAGUAUUGGGAGGUUGGAAGGACAUCUGAUCACUCUUCUUUUUCAGAGAUGAAAGGCUUUAUUGUAACUCACAGAAAAAGCAGUCGCCAGAAGUCAGCGUGUUGGUGCUAGGUCCCUAUCUCUCCAAGUCCAUAGGGUGAUGCGGUGGCUGACAUGGAUGCUGCCCAAAGAGUGGGCUGCAGUACAGGGAGGAGCCCAGGGCCAUGGACCCUACAAGCAGCAAAAAUUGCAGUAAGAAGCAAACAAGCCACUCUCCAUCCCAAAUGUCCCCUGGGGAGUAGGCAGUUGCUGACAGUUACACUGUGGGCACCUUGAUCUACUGGGUUGCUUCCAUGACUAGCAACAGAAACUGCUCGGCGUCAGGAGAUGGAUUGGCCUUCAAGCUGGCUGCUCAGCUAAAAUUUUCAGAGACUGCAUGGGGGCCUAUGGAGGAUGUGCCUCCCAACACCAUUCGUUUGAAGUGCAUGCAUCUGACCACUUUUUAGGUUUAACGGACAUUAUUUUUUUUCCUUUCUUUGCCCAAAACUAACCUAAUGAUUCCCUCCCCCCCACUCAUAAUCCUCAUUUAUAAACUCAAAUUGUUGGUAACUGAAGGCAUUAGUUGUCAUCAUGUAAUUUCCCAUAAAUAAUUAUGUGACAACUUAAUUUCCACAAUGAGCACAGUUGAAGUUAUUUUUCUAACUUCUAAUGUAAUAUUUCAUCAUGAACAAUUUCCUAGAUUCUGCCUUUUGGAAUCCCACUUCUUAUCUAGUUUGGGAAUUCUCUUUUCUAAAAUAAG